AAACGGAGUUAGGAUGGACCCCUGAGUUGAUCCGGGUCCGAAAGCCCGCAAGGGUAACCAGAUUGGGUCCCCCCGAGGUUUUUUCCCCCCCCCCGAACCCGCCCCAAGGUAAAAAAAAAUGGCCCCCCUUCGGGUUUUUUUCCCGCUGUGGCCCCGGACCGCAUGGAACAAAAAAGAAAGGCCCUUCGGCUUCUCCCCUGGAUGGGUUUGCGGGGCAUUAACUAAUUGGGGGGGUAACGGCCCCCCCUGGGGACCAUGCCUAGCCCACCCGGGAGGGUGAUCGGCCCCCCUGGGACUGAGACACCGCCCCCACUCCUUCCGGGGGGAGCAGUAGGGAAUCUUCCCCCAUGGGCGAAAGUCUGAUGGAGCCACCCCCCGUGAACGAUGAAAGCUUUCCGGUCCCAAAGUUCUGUUGUAAGGGAAAAACAAGUGCCCCCCGCUAUGGCGGCCCCUUGGCCGUACCUUUCGAGAAAGCCCCGGCUUACUUCGUGCCCGCCGCCCCGGUAAUACUUAUGUGGCAAGCCUUUUCCCGAAUUUUUGGGGGUAAAGCCCGCGCAGGCGGCCCCUUUAAUCUGAUGGGAAAGCCCCCCGCUCACCCGGGGGAGGGCCUUGUAAACUGGGGCGCUUUUGUUUAAGGAAAAAAAAGGGAAUUCCCCCCCGUGGCGGGGAAAUGCUCCAAGAAGGUGGGGGAACCCCCGUUGGGGCAGGGCACUCUCUUGGUCUUUUCCUGGCCCUUAAGCCGCCCCCAACCCCGGGGAGCCCAACCGGGUUUUUAUCCCCCGGGUAUCCCCCCCCCCUAAACCAAAAAAG
rnacentral:rRNA from 1 species